CCUACGGGGGGCAGCAGUGAGGAAUAUUGGUCAAUGGGCGAGAGCCUGAACCAGCCAAGUCGCGUGAAGGAUGAAGGAUCUAUGGUUUGUAAACUUCUUUUAUAUGGGAAUAAAGUGAGGAACGUGUUCCUUUUUGUAUGUACCAUAUGAAUAAGCAUCGGCUAACUCCGUGCCAGCAGCCGCGGUAAUACGGAGGAUGCGAGCGUUAUCCGGAUUUAUUGGGUUUAAAGGGUGCGUAGGUUGUUAAUUAAGUCAGCGGUGAAAGUUUGGGGACUAACCAUAAAAUUGCCGGUGAAACUGGUUGAAUUGAGUAUAUUUUAGGUAGGGCGAAAUCGUGGUG
rnacentral:rRNA from 1 species